rnacentral:rRNA from 1 species
CCUACGGGAGGCAGCAGUGGGGAAUAUUGCACAAUGGGGGAAACCCUGAUGCAGCGACGCCGCGUGAGUGAAGAAGUAUUUCGGUACGUAAAGCUCUAUCAGCAGGGAAGAAAAUGACGGUACCUGACUAAGAAGCCCCGGCUAACUACGUGCCAGCAGCCGCGGUAAUACGUAGGGUGCAAGCGUUACCCGGAUUUACUGGGCUUAAAGGGAGCGUAGACGGCAGCGCAAGUCGGAUGUGAAAUCCUAUGGCUUAACCAUGGAACUGCUUUGGAAACUGUACAGCUAGAGUGCGGGAGAGGUAGGCGGAAUUCCUAGUGUAGCGGUGAAAUGCGUAGAUAUCAGGAGGAACACCAGUGGCGAAGGCGGCUUACUGGACUAUAACUGACGUUGAGGCUCGAAAGCGUGGGGAGCAAACAGGAUUAGAUACCCUUGUAGUC